UUAAGGAAUUGACGGGACCCGCACAAGCAGCGGAGCGUGUGGUUUAAUUCGUUGCUACACGAAGAACCUUACCUGGGUUUGACAUAUAGGUUGUAGGGAACUGAAAAGGGACCGACCUUCGGGGAGCCUAUACAGGUGUUGCAUGGCUGUCGUCAGCUCGUGUCGUGAGAUGUUCGGUUAAGUCCGCUAACGAGCGCAACCCUCGUCGUAUGUUAUAUGUGUCAUACGAGACUGCCGGUAAAAGCCGGAGGAAGGUGAGGAUGAUGUCAAGUCAGCAUGACCUUUAUAUCCAGGGCUACACACACGCUACAAUGGUCUGUACAAUGGGUAGCCAAGCCGCGAGGCGGAGCCAAUCCUGAAAGCAGGCCUCAGUUCAGAUUGCAGUCUGCAACUCGACUGCAUGAAGCCGGAGUUGCUAGUAACCGCAGGUCAGCAAUACUGCGGUGAAUACGUUCCCGGGUCUU
rnacentral:rRNA from 1 species